rnacentral:rRNA from 1 species
GUGCCAGCCGCCGCGGUAAUACAGGGGGUGCGAGCGUUAAUCGGAAUUACUGGGCGUAAAGCGCGCGUAGGUGGUUUGUUAAGUCGGAUGUGAAAUCCCAGGGCUCAACCUUGGAAUGGCACCCGAUACUGGCAAGCUAGAGUAUGGUAGAGGGGUGUGGAAUUUCCUGUGUAGCGGUGAAAUGCGUAGAUAUAGGAAGGAACAUCAGUGGCGAAGGCGACACCCUGGACUGAUACUGACACUGAGGUGCGAAAGCGUGGGGAGCAAACAGGAUUAGAUACCCUAGUAGUCC